rnacentral:rRNA from 1 species
CCUACGGGAGGCAGCAGUAGGGAAUAUUGGACAAUGGGCGAAAGCCUGAUCCAGCAAUGCCGCGUGAGUGAUGAAGGCCUUAGGGUCGUAAAGCUCUUUUACCAGGGAUGAUAAUGACAGUACCUGGAGAAUAAGCUCCGGCUAACUCCGUGCCAGCAGCCGCGGUAAUACGGAGGGAGCUAGCGUUGUUCGGAAUUACUGGGCGUAAAGCGUACGUAGGCGGUUAUUCAAGUCAGAGGUGAAAGCCCGGGGCUCAACCCCGGAACUGCCUUUGAAACUAGGUAGCUAGAAUCUUGGAGAGGUCAGUGGAAUUCCGAGUGUAGAGGUGAAAUUCGUAGAUAUUCGGAAGAACACCAGUGGCGAAGGCGACUGACUGGACAAGUAUUGACGCUGAGGUACGAAAGCGUGGGGAGCAAACAGGAUUAGAUACCCUGGUAGUCCACGCCGUAAACGAUGAUAACUAGCUGUUCGGGCACUUGGUGCUUGAGUGGCGCAGCUAACGCAUUAAGUUAUCCGCCUGGGGAGUACGGUCGCAAGAUUAAAACCUUAAAGGAAUUGACGG